rnacentral:lncRNA from 1 species
CUCUAAUUCCUUUCCUUCUAGGUUCCACUCACUGUCUUCCUCAGCUGGUCACUUUCCUGAGAGUGAGCAGAUCAGACUUCAUUAUGAGGCUCUACGCUUUCAUCAAGAAGAAUUUUGCUGUCCUUCUAGAUACUCAGGAAGGCUGCUGUUGCUGUUUGCCCACUUUCCAAGAAGUUAAACUUUUGCAGGUGCUUCUCUCUGUGUUGAAGAAUGAAUAAAGGAGGCAUUAAGAAGUCAUUUUCUUCUUUAUAUUUAAAAAGACCAAGAAUACCAUCUUGAAUAAAUUAGCUGUGAUGUAAUAUUAGUAUAUCUUAGUUGUAUCUAACGUAGAAUAAUUUAAAUGAGCUAACAAUACUGUGUAGUGUUUUAAAAACAUUAACAAAGACAGCUGUCACAUGCAGUAAGAAGGAG